UUCGGCGUGCUUAACACAUGCAAGUCGAACGGAAAGGCCCUGCUUUUGUGGGGUGCUCGAGUGGCGAACGGGUGAGUAACACGCGAGUAACCUGCCCUUGACUUUGGGAUAACUUCAGGAAACUGGGGCUAAUACCGGAUAGGAGCUCCUGCUGCAUGGUGGGGGUUGGAAAGUUUCGGCGGUUGGGGAUGGACUCGCGGCUUAUCAGCUUGUUGGUGGGGUAGUGGCUUACCAAGGCUUUGACGGGUAGCCGGCCUGAGAGGGUGACCGGCCACAUUGGGACUGAGAUACGGCCUAGACUCCUACGGGAGGCAGCAGUGGGGAAUAUUGCACAAUGGGCGGAAGCCUGAUGCAGCAACGCCGCGUGCGGGAUGACGGCCUUCGGGUUGUAAACCGCUUUCGCCUGUGACGAAGCGUGAGUGACGGUAAUGGGUAAAGAAGCACCGGCUAACUACGUGCCAGCAGCCGCGGUGAUACGUAGGGUGCGAGCGUUGUCCGGAUUUAUUGGGCGUAAAGGGCUCGUAGGUGGUUGAUCGCGUCGGAAGUGUAAUCUUGGGGCUUAACCCUGAGCGUGCUUUCGAUACGGGUUGACUUGAGGAAGGUAGGGGAGAAUGGAAUUCCUGGUGGAGCGGUGGAAUGCGCAGAUAUCAGGAGGAACACCAGUGGCGAAGGCGGUUCUCUGGGCCUUUCCUGACGCUGAGGAGCGAAAGCGUGGGGAGCGAACAGGCUUAGAUACCCUGGUAGUCCACGCUGUAAACGGUGGGUACUAGGUGUGGGGUCCAUUCCACGGGUUCCGUGCCGUAGCUAACGCUUUAAGUACCCCGCCUGGGGAGUACGGCCGCAAGGCUAAAACUCAAAGGAAUUGACGGGGCCCCGCACAAGCGGCGGAGCAUGCGGAUUAAUUCGAUGCAACGCGUAGAACCUUACCUGGGUUUGACAUGGAUCGGGAGUGCUCAGAGAUGGGUGUGCCUCUUUUGGGGUCGGUUCACAGGUGGUGCAUGGCUGUCGUCAGCUCGUGUCGUGAGAUGUUGGGUUAAGUCCCGCAACGAGCGCAACCCUUGUUCACUGUUGCCAGCACGUUAUGGUGGGGACUCAGUGGAGACCGCCGGGGUCAACUCGGAGGAAGGUGGGGAUGACGUCAAGUCAUCAUGCCCCUUAUGUCCAGGGCUUCACGCAUGCUACAAUGGCUGGUACAGAGAGUGGCGAGCCUGUGAGGGUGAGCGAAUCUCGGAAAGCCGGUCUCAGUUCGGAUUGGGGUCUGCAACUCGACCUCAUGAAGUCGGAGUCGCUAGUAAUCGCAGAUCAGCAACGCUGCGGUGAAUACGUUCCCGGGGCUUGUACACACCGCCCGUCAAGUCAUGAAAGUUGGUAACACCCGAAGCCGGUGGCCUAACCGUUGUGGGGGAGCCGUCGAAGGUGGGACUGGUGAUUAGGA
rnacentral:rRNA from 1 species